rnacentral:tRNA from 1 species
GAGGGUGUAGGUCAGUCGUCAGAGUGUGUGCCUAGCACGCACGAGGUCCUGGGUUCAAUCCCCAGUACCUCCA